rnacentral:rRNA from 1 species
CAGUCGCCGCGGUAAUACGAAGGGGGCUAGCGUUGCUCGGAAUGACUGGGCGUAAAGGGCGCGUAGGCGGUUUGUACAGUUGGAUGUGAAAUUCCUGGGCUUAACCUGGGGGCUGCAUUCAAUACGUGCAGGCUUGAGUGUGGAAGAGGGUUGUGGAAUUCCCAGUGUAGAGGUGAAAUUCGUAGAUAUUGGGAAGAACACCGGUGGCGAAGGCGGCAACCUGGUCCUUGACUGACGCUGAGGCGCGAAAGCGUGGGGAGCAACCAGGAUUAGAUACCCCUGUAGUCCCUGUCUCUUAUAC